rnacentral:lncRNA from 1 species
AUGCUCUGCUCCUUCUCCUCCUCCUUCUUCUGUCGCUCCAUGACCGAGAGGAUGAUGCGCCGCUCCUCCUCGGUCAGGUGGCUCAGGUCCGGCGGCUCUGACCCGGUCCCGGUCCCGGCCCCGGCGGGCGGCGCGGGUCCGGCCGCUCGAGACAUCCUCGGAACCGCUGUGGAAGAGACGGACGCAGGCGGUCAGGCCGUCACAUCAAUGGUGAUGAGGCGGAGGAAGCGUAAACCCGCAGACGGCUGUUUCCCGAUGAGAGGACAGAUGACCAGCAGCCGACCGACAGAUGAAGCUGAAGGUGUGCGCGGUUUUCCUUCUGCUCAGCGGUUUUCUGUGGAGGGCGGCGUGCAGGAUGGCUGACUUCACUCCUGCUGUGCCAACGCUGCAGGUGAGACAGCUGAGGGUACAGACACCAAAGACCUGAAGCUGACGAAGAGCAUCAACUGUAAUGAUGUUAAAUUCAGCUUUAGUUUUGUUCUGAGCCUUUUUGCGCAGCCAAAAUGCUUAAAACAUAAACAAAUGAAUCUGCUUUGGACUUAUUUAACCUUUAAAGUUUGUGUCUUUAGCACAAAUAUUUAUAAAACAUCUUCAUUUCAACAUCCCACUCGUGCUUUUGAAAAUGUUAGGGCAAGCUGCUUAUAAUAAUCAGAAGAUUAGUUGAUGGAGGUCAAGGCUUAAAACAUGUACCAUCAAAAUGGAAUAAUACUAUCUCUGCUUCACUAAGAUCCAGUUUUAAAGGAUUUCUUCUGCACUUUUCAGCAUAUCUCUCCAGCAUUUGUCUAAAAUUUAAUUUUAGGACAAAAAUUUAUUUGGGAAAAUCUAAUCUAAAGACAAUCAAAAGAAUGUCUUUAAAAAAAAAAACUUUAGGAUGAAUGCAUGGAACGAGCCAACAAACUGAGCUUGUCUCUCAAUGGAUGAUGCUCUGGAGAGAGCACAGCAUCUUCUGCAUCCUGAGACGCCGUCCCCAAACUGUCCCUGCGUCCACAGCCUCCCGAUGAGACCCUCGCAGUCUCAUCCUGCUCCUCGGUCAUGCAUCUUUGAACAUACUAACAUCAUGGCAAUGAGGUGACCUGAGAAAUCCUGCAAUUUAUUAUAAAAUAAACUUGGCUUGUCUUCUGAAAAACUGUUGACCUUCUGUUAUGGCCUUUCUGAGGGAUUCUGUUGCUUCAAAAGAACAAUAACUCUUUCUAAUUGAAGCUCGUUAGCGACACAUCUUUCCAGCAGGGAAAGAUUCCUGUUUUGAAUUGGUUUCUGCACUGGGACGGGCUUCAGCAGAACCUCUGUGACGCUGGUCAUAUGAAAUAAAAGAGAAAGAGACCUGGAUUUUUGUUCAUGUUUUCCUGAUUUAUAUGAGGGAUGUUUUCUUCUUUUUCUGGACCGUGACACUUUAAUUUUGCCUUCUAUGAUAAAACUUUAUUACUGUAGUUUGUUGUAGUGACAGUUUUAGAACAGUGGGGCUAAAAUGUCAGAUCAAAAACGUUUUCCACGUAUUUAUUUAUUGAGUUUUUUGAUUUUGGUCUGCAAAGUUUUCCUUUACUGAGGUGGAGCCUCAGUAAACUUUUUAACUUUUAAAAUGUAACUUUUAGAUGAGUAAAGGAUUCUUGAAAUAGAAAGGUUGGAUAAAAUGCACAAAAUAAAAAAACAUCUCACAUCUUCCGUAGAAUGUGACAAUAAACAUGAUGUUUCCGUGGUUCUCGUCAUCCCAGGCUGUUGUCAUGACGAUCCAAAACAACUAAAACAAUCGGUUGUGUUUCAAUAAACCAGAAGAUAAAGUUGCAUCUACAUUGUUUUGCAAAAUAGCACAGUUUUUGUUGUGUUUUCUGUAUGCUUCCUGUUGUAAAGAGCCUUGUUAAUGUUUUGGAUGAUGCCAAACUCCUUUAUUUCUAAGAAAAGUUAUUUUUGUCGGCUUUAGAUUUGUGCCUAUCCCGAUUAAAGUCUUAACAUCUCUAAAGAUCCAUAAAAUGAUGGAAUUUUUAUCUUUUUUUUAGGAAAAUGUGUCUGUGAAGUCUGAGUUGAACAUCGUCACAUCUGUAAAGAAGAAUAGUUUCUUGCGGCUUCCUGGACUCUGUCGACGUCUGAAGAGAAGAAGAGUCACACUCCUGGUAGAGAUUAGCAAUGUUUUUAUUGCCUUUUUUUUGUCUUUCACAUCAGAUCUGACAGAUAUUUCCUUUGUAGUGCAACAUGGAGAAAUUUUGUUGGGGUCGGAGUUUAAACAGAAGACAGAAGAUUUCACCUGGACAGGUGUGUCGCUGCCCUCGGCAUUCCAAGUGUUCACAUUUCUUUCUCCACAGCCUCUAAAUAAAAAUAAUUUUAAAAAUGUGACAUUUCUCUUAUACUGAAGGCAAUUUUUCUCUAUAGCUGUGUGGAAAUGCAAUAACUUGUUUUUCAACGAGAGGAAUACCAUUUUUUUAAUGGAUUUAUCAGGAAUUAUGUUUGAUAAACUUUUUUUUUAUUUUAUUAGUUCAGUUUUUGUUGUUGUUGGUUUCUGAUUACUUGUUUUGAUUGCUUGAAAUGAACUAAUAAACCAAACCGAGAAAAAAAUGAUGUAGCUUUUCAUUAUUGUUUCUUAAAUCAAAUCAAACUUUAUUUAUAAAACACUUUUCAUACAACAUUAACGCAAAGGGCUUUGUGGACUUUAAACAAUUAAAGACAAAAUGAUAAAUACUCAGAAUUACCUUAUCAAUGUCACUUACAAUUACGCAUAGUGAAAAUUUUGUUAAUUUAAAGUAUUUAUACAGAAAUCAAAAGGGGUUAUCGGUUUAAAAUUAAAAGUGAGUCUUUACAUGUGUAUACCUUGUUGAUACAAACCUUGUUAGGUUAACUAGUUAUCUUAGGUUUAGUCAUUUCUGCAUCACGGGUUAACUUUUGAUCAUGCAAGUCUUUCAGUUAACUGAGGUGAUACAGGGUGAAAUACACAGUAUCCCUCUGUGGCUGAUUUAACCCUUGUGCUGUCUUAGAUGACCCCCCCUUACUUUGACGUGUUCUCCCUACCAUGACAAAGGUGGAUAAAGGUGGAAAGAUUUCAUGUAAUCCAUGGACACCAGUGAAGAUCACAAAUCAUUGAAGAAAAAAGGUUCAGAGCACUGUCUAGUGGGUCUAGAUGACCCACCUCCCCAUGUUAAAGUGCCUAGGAUAGAACAGGGGUUACAAUAUAAUGUUUUUUCAUUAGAACUUUAAUAAAAUGAAAGUGGACAGUUAUUGUGCAUAUUUGUUUUUCCUAAACUUAUUUAAAAUAUAAACAAAUCUCGUUAUUUAUUAAUGAAUGGUUUGAUGUUUGAGAAUCUGCUCUUGUGAAUGAAAUUACUGGCUGCCUCUUUAACGUCCGCCAACAUUCCUUUUUUUUUUUUUAAAUUGACAUCAUUCAGAAUUACACCGCAUUUUUUCCAUUUGGAACAUUCCAAUCCCAAAACAUAAGGCAGUUUAGCCUUUACAAAUAGAAAACUAGAACAAAGUCCAAGCAGCAGAUGAAAACAAUAUCAAAUCAUAAAACAGGGUUAUAAGUAAUAAAAAAUAAAUAAAACAUAGACAUAUGAUACCAAACUAAAAGUAGCAAUAAACAAAAAUUAUUAAAAUAGGAUAAAA